CCCAACUUGGCCUCGAACCCCCGAUCUCAGCCCAUCGCCCCAUCACCCACUUUCAAGGCUAUAAAAGGAGGACAGCCAAUCCCAGAGGUGUGGAGAUCCAUACGUCAUCGGUUACUAGGGCUCUCCUGGGCAGAUUUGGCGCCUGCCGGACUGAGCCUGGGCGAACCUGGAGACCCACUCGACCACAAUGGGGCAACCACGACCAAGAAGGGGCCCCAGAGCUCUCAGAGGUCCUCUAAGCCGGGACCCCAGGCCUGUAGCCACCUUCACUCUUCCAAAUCUCCAACUCCGCAAUUCUCCCAUCCCACUUUUACCUUCCAAGACGAUCGACAGAACCACCACCAGGACCGGGAGCGACAGGAAGAGCCUCAUGGCGAGGCCGGAGGGGCA
rnacentral:lncRNA from 10 species